rnacentral:misc_RNA from 1 species
UCUCCGUAGGUGAACCUGCGGAGGGAUCAUUACUGAGUGAGGGUCUCCGGGCCCGACCUCCAACCCUUUGUGAAUCGUACUCGUUGCUUCGGGGGCGACCCUGCCGUUUCGACGGCGAGCGCCCCCGGAGGCCAUUAAACACUGCAUCAUUGCGUCGGAGUUAAAGUAAAUUAAACAAAACUUUCAACAACGGAUCUCUUGGUUCCAGCAUCGAUGAAGAACGCAGC